CGUGAGUACUCAUCAACCUUAAUAGCUCCUGUACUAUCAAGCUCCACACCUACGGCCUCCAAAUUUAACCUCUUUGUAUUGGGUGUCCGACCAGUAGCAAAGAGUACAACAUCUGCCAAGAAUUCUUCUCCAUGAUCUGUGGAAACUUUUAUGCCAUCCUCAGUUUUAAUCAACUGUGUCAAAUUUGUCCUAGGGUGCAAAUUUAUUCCCCUGCCUUCCAGAUUUCUUGCAACCACCCCACUGCCCUCAUUUCAUCAUCAAAACCUCUUAACGGAAGCUCCUUUCUGAAAACUAGGUCCACAGUGGCACCCAUGCCACGCCAUAUUGAAGCAAACUCAACGGCAAUGUACCCUCCACCAAGCACCACAGCACGCUUGGGCACAUCUUCCAGACUCAAUGCCUCGUCGGAGGUUAUAGCCAACUCCUGCCCAGAAAUACCAGGACGUUGAGCUCUACUUCCUGUUGCAAUCAGUAUGUUCUUUGCUGAGUAGCUCAAUUUAGUCCCAUCAAGUUGUGUAACCUCAACUUCAUUAGGCCCAACAACCUUGCCCUCUCCUUCAAACAGUUUAACCCCAGCAUUAGACAGUAAUCGCUUGUAGAUUCCAUUUAACCUUGUUAUUUCAUCUGUCUUCUUCUGCAACAGCUUUUUCCAGUUGAAGUCCACCUUUUCAUUUAUUUCCCAUCCAAAAUUCCUGGCAUCCUCAAUAUCACCUCCAAAAUAGGCUCCAUACACCAAAAUCUUCUUGGGCACACAACCACGAAGAACACAUGUUCCACCAACUCCUCCAUCUACAUCUGAGCUAAUUGGAUGAAAUGGAAGCUCGCAAAUCCCAACCUUAGCUCCAUAGUUAGCUGAGAACCUAGAAGCACGAACACCGCCACUUCC
rnacentral:misc_RNA from 1 species